rfam:Triticum aestivum genome assembly, contig: Triticum_aestivum_CS42_TGACv1_scaffold_578628_7BL
CAACUACUCCCUCUGUCCCAUUAUUUCUUGUCUUAGAUUUGUCUAGAUACGGAUGUAUCUAAUACUAAAAUGUGACUUGAUACAUCCGUAUCUAGACAAAUCUAAGACAAGAAUUUUGGGACGGAGGGAGUACUUU